rnacentral:rRNA from 1 species
CAGUAGCCGCGGUAAUACGUAGGGCGCAAGCGUUGUCCGGAAUUAUUGGGCGUAAAGAGCUCGUAGGCGGUCUGUCGCGUCUGGUGUGAAAUCCCGAGGCUCAACCUCGGGCUUGCAUCGGGUACGGGCAGACUAGAGUGCGGUAGGGGAGACUUGAAUUCCUGGUGUAGCGGUGGAAUGCGCAGAUAUCAGGAGGAACACCGAUGGCGAAGGCAGGUCUCUGGGCCGCAACUGACGCUGAGGAGCGAAAGCAUGGGGAGCGAACAGGAUUAGAGACCCCAGUAGUCCCUGUCUCUUAUAA